rnacentral:antisense_RNA from 1 species
GGAAGAAGGAAUCAGGAGGCAGAGCACAUGGUUAAAGCAUGAGAUGUGAAACCAGGAAGAACCAGGUCUGAAUCUUAGCUCCACCAGUGGUAGCUCCAAACCUUAGUCCUUUCUGAGCCUGCUUCUUCAACCCUAAGGGAACACUACACUUCCUUAAAAAUUAAGAGUGUGUGCUACACUGCUUUACUAGAGCAAGACCAAAAGCAGCUUCAAUUAUGGUACAACUGUGUGAAGACACAAUGCAAAACCACUCAAGAAUGCUCACUCAAAUGGAUCUUUUACGAUGAUAAGCGACCAGAAAACAGUCCUCUCUGAAUCAGACAAACCUCAAGAGCUGCAAGGGUUAUUAACACAUAAAGUAAAGAGUCAAAUAGUAAUCUGCAGGAAUUCGGAAACGGGACCCAGAAAGUUGUUUCCUGCAAGUGGCUGGAACAACACAAGCAAUAAGUAUCCUGAAACAGGCCCUGUUCCAACAAACUGACCCAGAAAGCAAGUAUGAGGAAUCCUGUUUCCCUACGUUCUCACUACGACAGCAGGAUAUCAAACAUUGAUAUCCACCAAUCUCUGGAUGGAAAAACAAAUCUCAGGAAUCGCUUGCAGGAGGCUCUGCACGUUCCUCAGAUUCAGAGUCGCUGUCCUUUUGCCUGUGAAGCUCCUCACUUUCAGAGUCACUAGCAUUAAGAUUUAAGGGCUCAUCAUUCUCAGAGUCUGUCACAUGAUGUCCUUUGGGGAGGCCAUCUUCUCGAUCAC